GGGUUGUGAGGUUAAGCGACUAAGCGUACACGGUGGAUGCCCUGGCAGUCAGAGGCGAUGAAGGACGUGCUAAUCUGCGAUAAGCGCCGGUAAGGUGAUAUGAACCGUUAUAACCGGCGAUUUCCGAAUGGGGAAACCCAGUGUGAUUCGUCACACUAUCAUUAACUGAAUCCAUAGGUUAAUGAGGCGAACCGGGGGAACUGAAACAUCUAAGUACCCCGAGGAAAAGAAAUCAACCGAGAUUCCCCCAGUAGCGGCGAGCGAACGGGGAGGAGCCCAGAGCCUGAAUCAGCAUGUGUGUUAGUGGAAGCGUCUGGAAAGGCGCGCGAUACAGGGUGACAGCCCCGUACACAAAAGCGCAUGUGCUGUGAGCUCGAUGAGUAGGGCGGGACACGUGGUAUCCUGUCUGAAUAUGGGGGGACCAUCCUCCAAGGCUAAAUACUCCUGACUGACCGAUAGUGAACCAGUACCGUGAGGGAAAGGCGAAAAGAACCCCGGCGAGGGGAGUGAAAAAGAACCUGAAACCGUGUACGUACAAGCAGUGGGAGCACAGGUUUACCUGUGUGACUGCGUACCUUUUGUAUAAUGGGUCAGCGACUUAUAUUCUGUAGCAAGGUUAACCGUAUAGGGGAGCCGGAGGGAAACCGAGUCUUAAU
rnacentral:rRNA from 1 species